CCUACGGGCGGCAGCAGUGGGGAAUAUUGCACAAUGGGCGCAAGCCUGAUGCAGCCAUGCCGCGUGUGUGAAGAAGGCCUUCGGGUUGUAAAGCACUUUCAGCGGGGAGGAAGGCGGUGAGGUUAAUAACCUCAUCGAUUGACGUUACCCGCAGAAGAAGCACCGGCUAACUCCGUGCCAGCAGCCGCGGUAAUACGGAGGGUGCAAGCGUUAAUCGGAAUUACUGGGCGGAAAGCGCACGCAGGCGGUCUGUCAAGUCGGAUGUGAAAUCCCCGGGCUCAACCUGGGAACUGCAUUCGAAACUGGCAGGCUAGAGUCUUGUAGAGGGGGGUAGAAUUCCAGGUGUAGCGGUGAAAUGCGUAGAGAUCUGGAGGAAUACCGGUGGCGAAGGCGGCCCCCUGGACAAAGACUGACGCUCAGGUGCGAAAGCGUGGGGAGCAAACAGGAUUAGAUACCCGGGUAGUC
rnacentral:rRNA from 1 species